AGCUCAAAAGAGCAUCCUAAAAUUAGUAAAAUUGCAAAGUUUGGUUGCGAAAUGUUGUAAAAUACGGAAAAUAUAGCCCUGUGAAAUUAGCAAAUUUUGAGUAUUUUAGUAUUAGGCCAUAUAAAAAAAAUAGUUGGUUAGCGUCUUCUCCCGCCCACAAAAGAGGCCCCGCUCAGGAUUUUUUUUUAUUUUUUAUUUAAUAAAAACACCGACUUGUAUUGAUCAACGGGCUCUAAUAUACGUAGUAUUUCUGUUGACUGUAGUCAAUUGUGUUAAUAAAUUGCGAAAUUGCGUGCGAAAAUGACGGUAUGAAUCAUAUUUUGAAAUAUAUAAAAAAAUAUCUGUACUGCGCAAGAAAAUCCAGUUUCGGACCUAAAGCCAAGGUGUUAAAAAUUAGUAAAAAUUAAAAAAAAAGCGCCCGCCCGCUCACUUUUUGGCAAAAGCUAAGGACGCUAACCAACUAUUUUUUUUAUGUGGCCUUACGCGCGGUAUAAAAAUAACCACUUUCGGCUUAAAAAUGGUUAUUUUUACCGCGCGUAAUAUUAAAAUACUCAAAAUUUGCUAAUUUCACAGGGCUAUAUUUUCCAUAUUUUACAACAUUUCGCAACCAAACUUUGCAAUUUUACUCAUUUUAGGAUGCUCUUUUCACUUCAACAGAUUAGCAAAGCCCGUUUUGCUCAGAGAAUGGCCAGAUGGCUGAAUGUCCGAAAUUACGGCGCAAGUUGUAGCCAAAAUUGCAUUGACAACAUGGCCUUAAGCCGAUUUUCCACUAGCGAAUUUUUUCGCGCGAAAAGACCUUUUUCCUUUGUCGAUAUUACUUAUUACGUCAGCAAGACGUGGCAAAAUGGAUGCCGACAUAGGAAAAAGGUCGCUUCGCGCGAAAGAAUUCGCUAGUGGAAAACUGCGGGCUUUAAAUUUGAGGUUUAAAACGAUGAAAUAAAUAGCGGUAAAGUCAUUACCGAGCGAGGGACGUUUUUCAGGGUUCGUAGCGGUCUUUGAAAUCCUUGAAAGUCUUUAAAUUUGAAUGCAGGUCUCUAAAAUCUUUGAAAAGUCUUUGAAGUGUGUGAAAAAGCG